rnacentral:rRNA from 1 species
UACGGAGGUGGCAAGCGUUGCUCGGAAUCACUGGGCGUAAAGGGCGCGUAGGCGGGGAGGUAAGUCGGGUGUGAAAUCCCUCGGCCCAACCGAGGAACUGCGCCCGAGACUGCUUCUCUUGAGUCCCGGAGAGGAAGAUGGAAUUCCCGGUGUAGCGGUGAAAUGUGUAGAGAUCGGGAGGAACACCGGUGGCGAAGGCGGUUCUCUGGGACGGUACUGACGCUGAGACGCGAAAGCGUGGGGAGCGAACAGG